rnacentral:rRNA from 1 species
GAGUUUGAUCCUGGCUCAGGACGAACGCUGGUGGCGUGCUUAACACAUGCAAGUCGAACGGAAUCCAUGGUGUAGCAAUACACCGGAAGAUUUAGUGGCGAACGGGUGAGGAUCACGUGAGAAACCUGCCCCAGACUUUGGGAUAACAAUUGGAAACGAUUGCUAAUACCGAAUGACGUCGGAGAACCGCAUGGUUCACUGACGAAAGGAAAUCCGGUUUGGGAGGGUCUCGCGGCCUAUCAGCUUGUUGGUGGGGUAAUGGCCUACCAAGGCAACGACGGGUAGCUGGUCUGAGAGGAUGAUCAGCCACACUGGGACUGAGACACGGCCCAGACUCCUACGGGAGGCAGCAGUGGGGAAUCUUGCGCAAUGGGCGAAAGCCUGACGCAGCAACGCCGCGUGCGGGAUGAAGGCCUUCGGGCUGUAAACCGCUUUCAGCAGGAACGAAAAUGACGGUACCUGCAGAAGAAGGAGCGGCCAACUACGUGCCAGCAGCCGCGGUGACACGUAGGCUCCAAGCGUUGUCCGGAUUUAUUGGGCGUAAAGAGCUCGUAGGCGGUUUAGUAAGUCGGGUGUUAAAACUCUGGGCUCAACCCGGAGAGGCCAUCCGAUACUGCUGUGACUUGAGUUCAGGAGGGGAGCGGGGAAUUCCUAGUGUAGCGGUGAGAUGCGCAGAUAUUAGGAGGAACACCGGUGGCGAAGGCGCCGCUCUGGACUGAAACUGACGCUGAGGAGCGAAAGCAUGGGUAGCAAACAGGAUUAGAUACCCUGGUAGUCCAUGCCGUAAACGGUGGGCACUAGGUGUGGGUUCCAACUAACGGGAUCCGCGCCGUCGCUAACGCAUUAAGUGCCCCGCCUGGGGA